GGUGGUGCCUGAUUAGUUGCACUGAAUUAAUAAAAGAAACGAGUCUCUGAGAGACGGCUGCUUUAACAUCCAGACUCCCGGUGCGGUUCUUCAGGAGGUCAGGACAAGGACAGACGCCUCAACCCCCUGGGCUGCAGCUUUGCGCCUCCGAUUCGGCCUCCAGGUUCUGCCACUGUCGUGAGCUGGAGACCAGCGUUUCUAACUGACUCCUAAGCACACUCUGGUGAAGGAAAAGGAGGAGCACUUGAGAACAGCAAGUUGAACCGUAGCUUGGGGCAGGGGUGCCAGAUAAUCAAUAACCAUGAAAGCCACUUUGGGGCAAUGUUUUCCAGGUCUUUUGUCUCAUUGGAGUGGCUAAUGAUGUGUGGUAUGGGUGGGACUUUGGCAGAAAGCCCUAUGGCAGGUUAGAGACAAAAAUGCCAUACAGGUGGGAGUCACGGGGUGUGGGAACACCAGUUUAUUGGGGGGAGGGGAGGGAGAGAGGGGAAGAAGGGAGAAAGACAGAAAGAGAGAAGCAAAGGCCUGCCAGCCUGUUCAGAGGGACAGCCGGAAAGACAGGAAGUAGGCGAAGCUUGUCUCUUAAAGGGCCAGGAUAGUGCUUGCCAUGCAUGGAGGGGUGACACACUCUGCCAGGUGCCCAAGGGGCAGGGCCAAGGUGUGCCCAGAUGCUGAUGCCAUCUGUGGAAGCAUUCCUAAGAGAAUUUCAAUUGCUUCAAGUAUCCGGAGUGAAAUCUGGUCACUUAGACCAGCCGUCAAUUCCUGUGGUGGACUGGUCUCUGGCAGCCAGCCAUUAAUUCCUGCUAUGUGACUCCGACUUACAGGUCAUAGUCCUUGUCUGAAAACCGGAGCAAACUGGCAGAAGAAGCUGCUUCCUUUUCCUCUGCUUUGGACAACCUACUGGCAGUAAUAAACAAGACUCCAAGGGGCUUCUUCAGGCAUCUCAGGAAAGCUUCUUUCCAGGACUGGCCAGCCAUGAGGCCCACCCCUGAACACGUCUCUAUCAUGCUCACGGGCACCACAGGGUCACAAGUCCUGGCCUGCCUUGAAGUCCCAGUUCUCUUCUGCCAGAUGGGCAAGAUGACCCCAGAGAGACAGGCCAGCUGCUGGCCCCACCCCAUUUCCUCCAAGAAGACUGGUGGACACUGAAGAAACUCAGCCCACAAAAGUGGCAACGCUGGCCACUGACCAACCCUGCCUUUCACCUCAACUGCUGCAAAGGACUCUUCAGACCUUAGACAGGAGGACUGUGAAAUGGACUUUCUCCCUGUUGCUUGGGCCAAUGGCAGUCAAGUCUUCCUAGAGUUCCUGGUCCACAGAUCCCAUGCUAUCAGCAGAAGGCGGGUAUCCUUAAAGCCGCUGCCCUCAGCAACUAUACAGGACCUUGGGGAUGGCUGUAUAUGUAGCCAGGGAGCCAAAUUGGACCCACCUAAACAGGUCAGAUUCACUCCAAAUAAAUAUUAUUCAAUCUUUCCCUGGUCCUGGGACUCCCUUCUCUCAUCUUGGGACCCCUCAGGAAUCCCUCCCUUAUCUUACAAUCCUUCCCUCAAGUACCAGGACCCAUGAAAUUUUUUUUUCUAAACUUAUCCUUGUCCUCUACUCUGCUCACACCUUGCCAGGUCUAAGAGGCACCAGAGACUUCCAUACAGCCUGGACUGCGAUGAGACAACCAGCUACUCAGAACAUGGCUGCACCCCAGCUUUCUCAGGCCCUCCAAAGAUGGUCAACGCCCCCAGGUCAGGAGGAAGUAGUCUUGAAAACUCUACGUCCUCUUUCCCACCCUGGAAUAAAUUACGGUUAAUGUGC